rnacentral:rRNA from 1 species
GAGAACUCUGAUGCAUCGAUGCCGCGUGAGUGAAGAAGGCCUUUGGGUUGUAAAGCUCUUUUGUAGGGGAAGAUAAUGACUGUACCCUAAGAAUAAGGUCCGGCUAACUUCGUGCCAGCAGCCGCGGUAAUACGAAGGGACCUAGCGUAGUUCGGAAUUACUGGGCGUAAAGCGCGCGUAGGCCGUUGAGUUAGUUAAUUGUGAAAUCCCAAANGCUUAACUUUUGGGGAACUGGCAAUUAAAACUGCUCNGACUAGAGUUUGGGAUA